GUAGAUGGAAAUUGUAACAACCUUAGUGUAUGGCCAGUUGGUGCUGUAUCAAAUACUAUAACGGAGUAGUCCAUUGUCUGAACUAAUUUCAACAUUUCAGCAAAGCUCAUAGCCUCAUCAACUCCAGGAAUUGCAUUUGUUAGCUCGGAAAGAAAGCUAUCAACUUCAUCAUUUCCUAUAUCAUCAUUUUCAACUUUUGGAUCCACCUCCAUGGCGAAGAGAUUGGUGAAUCCGUUGACGAGUGUGGGGCUUUUGGUGAAUCGCUGCUGGAAGGCGUCGCUGAGGUUGUGGGCGGGAUCGGUGGAGAUGAUGAGGACGGACUGGCGGACGGAGGCGAGGAGAAUCGAGAGGAUAGAGCUGCAGGUCGUCUUCCCCACCCCACCCUUGCCGCCGACGAACACCCAUUUUAGGGUUUCCUGCUCCAGCAGGUUGCUCACCGUCCCCUCCGGCGGAUCCAUCAGAUCCAUCAGGGGGGUAGCGUGUGGGAUGGGG
rnacentral:misc_RNA from 1 species